rnacentral:rRNA from 1 species
CAGUAGCCACGGGAAUACGUAGGGUGCAAGCGUUAAUCGGAAUUACUGGGCGUAAAGCGUGCGCAGGCGGUUCGUUAAGACAGAUGUGAAAUCCCCGGGCUCAACCUGGGACCUGCAUUUGUGACUGGCGAGCUAGAGUAUGGCAGAGGGGGGUAGAAUUCCACGUGUAGCAGUGAAAUGCGUAGAGAUGUGGAGGAAUACCGAUGGCGAAGGCAGCCCCCUGGGCCAAUACUGACGCUCAUGCACGAAAGCGUGGGGAGCAAACAGGAUUAGAGACCCCCGUAGUCCCUGUCUCUUAUAC